UACGUAGGGGGCGAGCGUUGUCCGGAGUUACUGGGCGUAAAGGGCAUGCAGGCGGUCGGACGCGUUUUGUGUGACAGCGGGUGGCUCAACUACCCGAGCAUGCGAAAGACGGUCGGACUUGAGGACUCGAGAGGGACACUGAAUUCCUGGUGUAGCGGUGAAAUGCGCAGAUAUCAGGAGGAACACCCGUGGCGAAAGCGGCUCUCUGGGACGGUACUGACGCUGAGACGCGAAAGCGUGGGGAGCAAACAGG
rnacentral:rRNA from 1 species